AGCUGCAUGGGGGCAAGCCUGAUCCAGCGACGCCGCGUGGGUGACGAAGGCCUUCGGGUUGUAAAGCCCUUUUGCCGGGGACGAUGAUGACGGUACCCGGAGAAGAAGGACCGGCUAACUCCGUGCCAGCAGCCGCGGUAAUACGGAGGGGGCUA
rnacentral:rRNA from 1 species